CACCGCCCGUCACAUCAUGAAAGCCGGUUGUACCCGAAGUCCAUAUAGAAACCGCAAGGAUCUAGUGGCCGAAGGUAUGGCUGGUGAUUGGGAUG
rnacentral:rRNA from 1 species